AGUGGCGGACGGGUGAGUAACGCGUGAGCAACCUGCCUAUCAAAGUGGGAUAACACAGGGAAACUUGUGCUAAUACCGCAUGAUGCAUAUUAGUCGCAUGUCUGAUAUGCCAAAGGGAAACCGAUGAUAGAUGGGCUCGCGUAUGAUUAGAUAGUUGGCAGGGUAACGGCCUACCAAAUCGACGAUCAUUAGCCGAACUGAGAGGUUGAACGGCCACAUUGGAACUGAGAAACGGUCCAGACUCCUACGGGAGGCAGCAGUGGGGAAUAUUGGGCAAUGGGCGAAAGCCUGACCCAGCGACGCCGCGUGAGGGAAGAAGGUCUUCGGAUUGUAAACCUCUUUCAGCAGGGAAGAAGCAAGUGACGGUACCUGCAGAAGAAGUCACGGCUAACUACGUGCCAGCAGCCGCGGUAAUACGUAGGUGGCGAGCGUUAUCCGGAAUUACUGGGUGUAAAGGGUGUGUAGGCGGGGAAGCAAGUCAGAUGUGAAAAUUAUGGGCUCAACUCAUAACCUGCAUUUGAAACUGUUUUUCUUGAGAGUGGGAGAGGUAAACGGAAUUCCUG
rnacentral:rRNA from 1 species